rnacentral:rRNA from 1 species
CUUGCUUCUCUUGAGAGCGGCGGACGGGUGAGUAAUGCCUAGGAAUCUGCCUGGUAGUGGGGGAUAACGUUCGGAAACGGACGCUAAUACCGCAUACGUCCUACGGGAGAAAGCAGGGGACCUUCGGGCCUUGCGCUAUCAGAUGAGCCUAGGUCGGAUUAGCUAGUUGGUGGGGUAAUGGCUCACCAAGGCGACGAUCCGUAACUGGUCUGAGAGGAUGAUCAGUCACACUGGAACUGAGACACGGUCCAGACUCCUACGGGAGGCAGCAGUGGGGAAUAUUGGACAAUGGGCGAAAGCCUGAUCCAGCCAUGCCGCGUGUGUGAAGAAGGUCUUCGGAUUGUAAAGCACUUUAAGUUGGGAGGAAGGGCAGUAAAUUAAUACUUUGCUGUUUUGACGUUACCGACAGAAUAAGCACCGGCUAACUCUGUGCCAGCAGCCGCGGUAAUACAGAGGGUGCAAGCGUUAAUCGGAAUUACUGGGCGUAAAGCGCGCGUAGGUGGUUAGUUAAGUUGGAUGUGAAAUCCCCGGGCUCAACCUGGGAACUGCAUUCAAAACUGACUGACUAGAGUAUGGUAGAGGGUGGUGGAAUUUCCUGUGUAGCGGUGAAAUGCGUAGAUAUAGGAAGGAACACCAGUGGCGA